rnacentral:rRNA from 1 species
UACGUAGGGAGCAAGCGUUGUCCGGAAUCAUUGGGCGUAAAGCGCGUGUAGGCGGCUUGGUAAGUCUGCUCUGAAAGCCCGGGGCUUAACCCCGGAAUUGCACCUCAAACUACACGGCUAGAGCAUUGGAGAGGGUAGCAGAAUUCAUGGUGUAGCAGUGAAAUGCGUAGAUAUCAUGAGGAAUACCAGAGGCGAAGGCGGCUACCUGGACAAUUCCUGACACUGAGACACGAAGGCUAGGGGAGCAAACGGG